rnacentral:misc_RNA from 1 species
GUAUUUAUAUAUCAUUUUCUGCUUUCUCUGCAGUUAUUUUCCUUUUUUUUUCGGUUCUUUUGCUUUUGUUUUAUCUUUACUUCCGAUUCGUCUGGACUUCUUUUGGAAUAAAUCAUUUGCAAUUUAUAUUUCUUUGAAAAUGAAUUUUUUUUUUAAUUUAAAAAAGAAUUGAAUUUUUUCAUUCUAAAUAUGAGAAUUGACUAAAAAAAACAAUUAAAUUGAAUUCUCGCAAAAUUUUAGAUUCCAAAUGUGACAAGCCAAAUCAAAUGAUUAGGACUAUAAUUGCCCGUAUCCAGAAUUAGCAUUCUUAAUUUUGGGUUGAAAGCAUAAAUGGGCCCCAUCAGAAGAACUAUCACGAAAUCAUUGAUGUGCAAGGGGGAACCAUAAUUAAUUCUAUGUAAAAUUUCUUAAAGACUCUGCAUGAUAACUUCUCCUGACCUUCCACUACAAAUUAAUAAAUAAAUAAUCACAUCAAUGUGAUAUUCAGUCAAUUCAAUUUUUGGUGUGAAGUACAAUUCCUGCUUGUGUGUGACAUGUGAACUAGUAUUCCUCAGCAAGGCAGUAA